rnacentral:RNase_P_RNA from 1 species
UCAGUCGGUCGGGCAGCCGCGCCUGUCAUGUGCCGAAAGGCGGCAGGUGAGGAAAGUCCGGGCUCCAUGGAAACACGAUGCCGGGUAACGCCCGGCGGGGGCGACCCCAGGGAAAGUGCCACAGAAAGCAAACCGCCCCGUCUUCCGUACCGUUUCGGGCAAACGGCAGGGAUGACGGGGUAAGGGUGAAAGGGUGGGGUAAGAGCCCACCGCGCCGGCAGCAAUGCAGGCGGCACGGUAAACCCCAUCGGGAGCAAAACCGAAUAGGGACGGCGCGUCGGCUCGAAAGGGCAGGCAAUCGGUUUCCGGAUCAGCCGUCCGGGUGGGUUGCACGAGGCGGGUGGCGACAUCCGUCCCAGAUGAAUGGCUGCCGCGCCGGGUGCAAGCCCGGCCGUACAGAACCCGGCUUACAGACCGGCUGACAUU